UACAGAGGAGCCAAGCGUUGUCCGGAUUGACUGGGCGUAAAGCGCACGCAGGCGGUUGCGCGCGUGGGGUGUGAAAUCUGGCCGCUUAACGGCCAGGCGCCAUCCCAUACGGCGCGACUGGAGGGCUGCAGAGGUCGAUGGAAUUCCUGGUGUAGCGGUGAAAUGCGCAGAUAUCAGGAGGAACACCAAUUGCGAAGGCAGCUCGCUGGGACGUUACUGACGCUGAGACGCGAAAGCGUGGGGAGCAAACAGG
rnacentral:rRNA from 1 species